GCAAGUCGAACGAAGGAUUUAAGGAAGCUUGCUUUCUUUUAUUACUUAGUGGCAAACGGGUGAGUAAUGCAUAAGUAAUCUGCCUUUAAGCUCGGGACAACUUCUCGAAAGGGGAGCUAAUACCGGAUGUGCUCUUUGAAUCGAAUGGUUUAAAGAGGAAAGGUUUACCACUUAAAGAGGAGCUUAUGUCUGAUUAGCUAGUUGGUAGGGUAAUGGCCUACCAAGGCGAUGAUCAGUAGCUGGUCUGAGAGGAUGAUC
rnacentral:rRNA from 1 species